rnacentral:tRNA from 1 species
GGCGGCGUAGCCAAGUGGUAAGGCAGAGGUUUGCAAAACCUUUAUGCGUGAGUUCGAUUCUCACCGCCGCCUCCA